UUUUCCAAAAAAAGAUUGAUGUUAUUAGAAGCUUAGGGUACGCCGCAGGUCCGUCCGUCCCUAGAGCGGGUGAUGCAUCUUUUUGGUGGUCUCAUGUCGUAAAAAGAUUGGAGCUAUAUCCCUUCCAAAUAAAAAACUAAGCGUUCCAACUUGCAAUCAGAGUAUCUGAGGAAACCCUAAAACAUGUCGGGCGGUUUUUUUAGGGGGACUUCUGCUGAGCAGGACACUCGCUUCUCUAAUAAGCAAGCUAAGUUGUUAAAAUCUCAGAAGUUCGCUCCUGAAUUGGAACAUCUGGUGGACAUGACAAAGGUCAAGAUGGAUGUAAUGAAACCAUGGAUUGCUAAGCGAGUUACUGAGCUUAUUGGUUUCGAAGAUGAAGUGCUUAUCAAUUUUAUUUAUAGCCUUCUUGAACGAAAGGUAGCUAAUGGCAAGGAGCUUCAAAUUUCACUUACUGGAUUCAUGGAAAGAAACACUGGAAAAUUCAUGAAAGAGCUUUGGGCAUUACUACUUAGUGCACAGAACAAUGCCAGUGGUGUUCCUCAACAGUUCCUAGAAGCCAAAGAAGAGGAAAUGAGAAACAAGAAGGCUGAGAUGGAUCGAAUUGCAAACGAGAUUCAGAAGAAAAAGGAGAGAGAGAACAGGGAGCUGGAUCAAGAGAAAAGGAAGAAGAUGGAUGAUUAUGACAGCAAUUUGAGACAGAAAAAUGCUUCACGGGAGCCAACUCCAAAACAACAGCUUCAAGUGCGCUUGAUGGAUGAUUUAGAUCCUGUUGAGAGAAACGGAUCAAGAGUAAGAAACAGGGUCUCUAAAUCCCCACGGUCAGCAGAUCAUUCACUCUCCCCCAGGAAAUCAAGGUCAAUCAGCAAGUCAUUCUCCAAUUCGAGGAGUUACUCUGGUGAAAGGCACAGGUCACGAAGUACAUCCGGAUCUCUAGAAGAAAGGAGAUGUCGCUCUGUUUCAUCUGAAAGGGCAUAUCGCUCUGCACCAAAGUGUUCUGUUUCACCUCGUAGGAAACAUUCACCUCGACAAUCCCAUUCUCCACCAAGGCAUAGGCGAAGAUCAACCUCUCGAGUACGUCGAAGGUCACCUUCUCCUGCAAGAUACCGAAGACAUUCUCCAUUCCGACGUAGAUCAAGGUCUCCGCUUCGACGUAGAUCAAGGUCUCCGCUUCGACAUAGGUCGAGGUCUCCCAUUUGGCGUAGAUCACGAUCCCCUAUAUGGUGUAGGUCAAGGUCUCCAAGUAGACGCUCACCAGUGCGAUACAUAUCAAGGUCACCUAUUAAACGUCGAUCACCACUUCGACGCAGAACACCAUCUCCAACGCAACGUAGGUCCCCUUCUCCAGUGAGUCGGGGGUACCACCGAUCUCCAUUGAGUCCUCGGCAAAGUUCUCCAUUCCUAGUUCAACGAAAACCCUCCAUUUCUGGUAGGAAGAGAUCCUUAACCCCUGCCAGAAGGUUUCUUUCAUCUCAAGAAUCACUUUCCCCAUCACCCAUUUACCGCAGGUCUCCUUCACCAAUCAGAAAGAGAAUAUCGAAGAAUGAAAGGUCACCAGUUCAAUCUCUUCGAGGAAGGAUAAGGAGCCGUGAGAAAUACUCCUCUGUUCGAUAUGCUUCACCAGUAAAAACUGAGGCCCAUAAAGGAUCCAGAUCUUUGGAACGUAGACGUCCUACUUCUUCUGGGUCACCACAGAAGAGGAUAUAUGACCGUAAGGAUUCACGAGAAAAAGAGCUGCCUUUGCCGCCUCAGCUAAGCCGGUCACCAUCUGUUCCAGAAUCUCCACGUCGCUCUAGAUCUGACUCAGAAUCUCCACCAACCAAAAGGGGAAGGAGUCCUAGUGAAGAUAGAGGGCCAAGGAGUACUUUGAACCGGAGGGAGAUAAAGACAAGUGACUUCGACAGCCUUAGUCCAAGUAAAUUGAGAGAGCAGAAAGUUAGUUCUGACAUUUCUGAGAAAAUCACAGAUCAGAAAGAAAUGAACCAUUCAAGGGAGGCUUUUGAGCAUAAACCUAGGUCUUCAAGAAAAAUUCCCACAACACCCGAUCCAUAUAAAGAUCUUGGGAAGGGGUUUGUCGAGAAAGAAUUUUCAGACAUUCAUAGCCGUUCAGAUCGAUUGGAGUCGAGAAAGCGAAAUGAAGCGAUUAAGAGUGAAAAAUUUUCAGGAACUAUGGAGCACACAAAGGAACUGGAUAAACAAAAGUCACCAUCAACUCAUAGACACUCUCAUUCAGUUAAAAGGUUAAAGGAAUCAUAUGAUGGGGAGAGUGUCAAAGCAGAUAAGGAAAACCUGUCUCACACAAACGAUACCAAGGGCAAAGAGCUACAUGUUGAGUCCGAAGCUCCCCUCACUUCAUCAAAGAAAGUUGAGCAGAAUGAUUUAAGUAGUAAUGAGGGUUCUGGUUUCGAGGAAAGUGAAAAGCGUAGAGCUAAAAUUAAGGAUAAAAGAAAGCAUAAGAGGUCUGACAGAUAUGAGUCAACGUCAGAUGAUAGUUCUGAUUCUGAUGUUGAGGAUAGGAAGGAGGCUAAAAAGAGAAGGAAAGAGGAGAGAAGAUUGAAGAAAGAGGAGAAGCGUCGCCGGCGGGAGGAGAGGCGGCGCAGAAAGGAAGAAAGACGUUCCCAGAAACUAAAAUCGAAGUCAGCUAAUGCCAUAUCCUCGCCUUCAGAUACAGAUAGGAAUCCUGAUAAUCAUGCUUCUGAUGAUGAACAUCUGAGGAAAGAGGGUCAACAUGGACGUGAGAUUGAGGAGUCAGAGUCCUUGCAGAAAAGACUUGAGAUUGAGCUACGGGAGAAGGCUCUCGAGUCUCUUAGAGCAAAAAAGGGUGUCAGUCAUUAAGAUUGUUGCUUCUUUUGGACAUUAUUAAGCUGUCAUUCUUGUCCUAAUAGUCCUUUUCUUUCAGCUUGCUUUAUCAAUCUAGAACUGAAUAUUUAUCGUCGAUGUGUUGUUUAUGCAUAUUUAAUGUAGUCUAUCUUUACCUCUGGCAGCUGAAUUGCAUAAAAGAGGGUUUCCUGAGCUAGUGUGUUGACUUCAACUUUAUGCUGACAUACCUGCUAAACCUUCUGAUCAUUAUAUUUUUCACUAGAUGACCUCGUUGAGCAGACUUGGCAACUCCAUACAUGGGUCUCCAAUGCAGCCAUGAAGGCUAAAGGACAAGGCGAGGAUGAAUCUAUAAAAAAUAGGCCAAAAACAUUGAAAAUAGUGUAAAAUUCCAGCCAAGGAUCGCCUAACUCAAAGGGCGGAUCGCCAAAUAGCAUGAUCUCUGCCAAAAUUGACAGUGUUCAAUGAUAAAGUACCAAACCAAGUCGGCGAAGUAAGAAUAACUUUGUGAUCCACCGAAUGUGAAAAGGCAAGCACAUUUCAUCGCCGGAAGUGACAGAUUGCUGAGCCAAAAUAAGGGCUAAACUAGGUGAACAAGGUGGAAAUCGGCGAUUCGCCCAAUGUGAAAAGGCUGACUCAAUUGAGUUCGCCGACAGAGGUUCAAACACUUGAAGCCUGAAGUCAAGAAAAGGCGACCUGAAGAAUAGAACAACGAUUCGCCAAUCGUGUUCGGCGAGGCCGACUAAUGUCGCCGAAUAGGUCACACAUGGAAUUUCGGAUUAAAUUUUGGGAAAAUUAUAAAUAUCCCAAAGGAGAGAAAAUAGAUGACGAUUCUAAUCUUGAUACUACACUUUUUACUGAUUCUAAUUUAGGAGAUUAAGAAAUUGACUUUUUCUACCUUUCUCUUAGUUUUGGGGUUGGAACACUCUUGUAAUUGACAUUUGAGGGUUGAAUUUGAUGUGGGUGUUGAAAUUA